GGGGCAGAGACUGACUCUUAACAUGUGUAUGUACAGCACCUAGCACAACGGUACUAUUGGAAUCAUCAUCAUCAUUGCAGAACUAGCAGUAGAAGAACUACCAAUAACAACAAAAUUCAUCCAGUAGAACACAAAUGUUCAACAUGGCACACAUAGGUGAUAUUUGCAACAAAAGUGCACCAGCCCUGGCUGUGAGCUUCACAAUGGAAGUUAAUCUGCUGGCUACUGAUCUCUCCAGCAAUAAGGGAUAAGAAGAGGAACAAUAUGGAGAAGGCCUGUGGGUCAGGCCCUGGCCUAGAGGGCUUGUAGUGAGGUGGCCUGGCUCCC